CACUCCUGCGGGAGGCAGCAGUGGGGAAUUUUGGACAAUGGGCGAAAGCCCGAUCCAGCAAUGCCGCGUGAGUGAAGAAGGCCUUCGGGUUGUAAAGCUCUUUUGUCAGGGAAGAAACGGUGAAAGCUAAUAUCUUUUGCUAAUGACGGUACCUGAAGAAUAAGCACCGGCUAACUACGUGCCAGCAGCCGCGGUAAUACGUAGGGUGCAAGCGUUAAUCGGAAUUACUGGGCGUAAAGCGUGCGCAGGCGGUUUUGUAAGUCUGAUGUGAAAUCCCCGGGCUCAACCUGGGAAUUGCAUUGGAGACUGCAAGGCUAGAAUCUGGCAGAGGGGGGUAGAAUUCCACGUGUAGCAGUGAAAUGCGUAGAUAUGUGGAGGAACACCGAUGGCGAAGGCAGCCCCCUGGGUCAAGAUUGACGCUCAUGCACGAAAGCGUGGGGAGCAAACAGGAUUAGAUACCCGAGUAGUCCCA
rnacentral:rRNA from 1 species